rnacentral:rRNA from 1 species
AAGCUCCCUUCGGGGAGCAAGUACAGUGGCGAACGGGUGAGUAACGGGUGGAAAACCUGCCCUUCAAUGGGGGAUAACAGUUCUAACGAGCUGCUAAUACCGCAUACGACCUUCGGAUCGCAUGUUCCGAAGGUGAAAGGUGGCCUCUCUUUGAAGCUGCCGUUGAAGGAUGGUUCCGCCUCCCAUUAGCUUGUUGGUGGGGUAAUGGCCUACCAAGGCGACGAUGGGUAGCCGGCCUGAGAGGGUGUCCGGCCACACUGGGACUGAGAUACGGCCCAGACUCCUACGGGAGGCAGCAGUCGAGAAGCUUCGGCAAUGGGCGAAAGCCUGACCGAGCGAUGCCGCGUGAGUGAAGAAGGCCCUAUGGGUUGUAAAGCUCUGUCAGAUUGGGAAGAAAAUCCUACGGUUAAUACCCGUGGGACUUGACGGUACCAUCAGAGGAAGCACCGGCUAACUCCGUGCCAGCAGCCGCGGUAAUACGGAGGGUGCAAGCGUUGUUCGGAUUCACUGGGUAUAAAGGGUGCGCAGGCGGCCCGAUAAGUCAGGGGUGAAAUAUGACGGCUCAACCGUCAAACUGCCCCUGAAACUGUCAGGCUUGAGUCCGGGAGAGGAAGGUGGAAUUCCAGGUGUAGCGGUGAAAUGCGUAAAUAUCUGGAGGA